rnacentral:rRNA from 1 species
GAUGAACGCUGGCGGCGUGCCUAAUACAUGCAAGUCGAACGAGAGCGACCGGUGCUUGCACUGCUCAAUCUAGUGGCGAACGGGUGAGUAACACGUGGGUAACCUGCCUAUCAGAGGGGGAUAACAUCCGGAAACGGAUGCUAAAACCGCAUAGGUCUUCGAACCGCAUGGUUUGAAGAGGAAAAGAGGCGCAAGCUUCUGCUGAUGGUUGGACCCGCGGUGCAUUAGCUAGUUGGUGAGGUAACGGCUCACCAAGGCCGGGAUGCAUAGCCGACCUGAGAGGGUGAUCGGCCACAUUGGAACUGAGACACGGCCCAGACUCCUACGGGAGGCAGCAGUAGGGAAUCUUCCGCAAUGGACGCAAGUCUGACAGAGCAACGCCGCGUGAGUGAAGAAGGUCUUCGGAUCGUAAAACUCUGUUGUUAGAGAAGAACAAGUGCUAGAGUAACUGUUAGCGCCUUGACGGUAUCUAACCAGAAAGCCACGGCUAACUACGUG